GCUGCCGGGCUCGCGGGUCCCACUCAGCCCCGGCCGCUCUGGCUCCUUCCCCGGCUCGGGCCCCUACAUGGAAUUCCUGGGGAACCCGGCCACGCUGGGCACCAUGGGAAGGAAGAACCUGGAAGAUGUCCAGCGGAUGCUGCAGGUGAUGGAGCAGUACCUGAAGAGCCCCAGGGGAUAACGCCGUAAAAAUAUCCCUGGAAUAGCAGGAGCCGCCCAGGAGGUGCUGCCCGCAGCACGGAUGGCACAUUGUCCCCUUGUCCCCAUGUCCCCAACCCCACCCCGCGUGUCCCCAAAGGAUGUAACCCCCCCUGGCUGGAGCGGGACAACAGCCAGCCCCGAAUUUGGGGACAACUCGC